rnacentral:rRNA from 1 species
GACGUAGGUGGCAAGCGUUGUCCGGAUUUACUGGGCGUAAAGAGCGCGCAGGCGGUCGUUUAAGUCGAAUGUGAAAGCCCCCGGCUCAACUGGGGAGGGUCACGCGAUACUGAUCGACUGGAAGGCAGGAGAGGGUAGUGGAAUUCCCGGUGUAGUGGUGAAAUGCGUAGAUAUCGGGAGGAACACCAGUGGCGAAGGCGACUACCUGGCCUGUUCUUGACGCUGAGGCGCGAAAGCUAGGGGAGCAAACGGG